rnacentral:lncRNA from 1 species
CAACUGAGAGGUUGGGCCAUUUUGUUCACUUGGCUGGGGGCGUUAGUCUUGUUUUAUUUUUGUUGACUUGACUCUAAUAAGAAGAGUUGUCUUGUAAUGUUUUUGAAUAGUUGCUAUUUUCUUUUACAAGUAUUGUGGGGCAUGUUUAUUAUCCUAUAACUUGUUUUGUGACACCAGUUUUUCAUUCUACUCUAUGUUAGUCACUGAUGAAUCUGAUUAUUUUGUCAUAUUUGGGAAGUUGAACUCUAUCGAUGGUCGAUUCUAUUAUUUUUAGACAAUCUAACUCUUAUUUUUCCAUCAAUUCAUUGUUAGCCACAUGGAGAUUGAUAUUAAAAUCACAUUUGCAUAAAAUUUUUGGUAUUCUUUGUUUUUACUUUUAUUAUUUUAAAAAAUAGUAAAUCUUUGCUAUCAAAAGUUCUAAAUGUUUUAUGAAUUAUUUUGAGAAGCUAAAAAAAGGGUUUAAUCAUAUAUAUUGUUCACCAUAGUUCAAUUUUCUUAAAAAGAUAAACGAAAGCACUGGUGAAAGUAAUCAUUUCAUAAUUUGUAAAUUAUCCGAAUUGAUUUCCUUUUAUGUGAGCAUGUUUGUGGUUUUGCAAUCCGUAAGUAUAUAAUGUAACCUUUGGAAGAAUAUUCUUAGAGCUGAUCAUGAGGCAAAACCUAAGGGUCUGAACUAUAUUUAUAGUUCUUUUGGAUUUGGAGCCGGGUUAUAUCUACAAUUUGAUGUUUUCUGUGUCCAAGCCCCAACCAUCUACAGAUUUAGUUUAGAGGUCUCUCCUGUUUUUUAUUUAUAAAAAAAUAAAAAAGAAAAAGGAGCUUUCUCUUGUUUCAUGAUUCUCUGACACUGCGAUUUGAAAUUCGACUACCAGUCUAGUUCUAUGAGGUCUUUCCUCUGAUAACUUGGUGUUGAGGAUGCUGGGAUCUGAUGAGGAUAUAGUACUAAGCUGCAUCGGAUUCCAUCAGAACUUCGUAGAUAAGCA